GAUUAAGUUAACAACUGUUAAAAACUCACCUCAAAGGCACAUGCACAUAGGAUAAUUUGUUGUCAUAAAUGAGCCUUCGAGAGUCAGAGAGGAAGACACUGAAGCUGAGAAAGAUAACGUGCUCAAGGUCAUACCGCUAAGUAGAGCAAGUGAGGCCCAAGAACCAAGAUGUUCGUUCAUGCCUACCCAGCCCAGCCCUCUCUAGCACAAUCCCAAUGUCUUGAUGACCUCUACAUCACGACUAUUAUAUCAACAUCUUUAUUCCUAAAUCUCAACCACCUUAUCUCCAUGUUCCCUUAAAAGCAGAUUAAACUGUAAUAUUUUUUUCUGAAAACUUUUAUUUUAAAGCAUUUUUCAGAGUAUCAUGUAGCAGGGAAACCCAUAUAAUUCAUAAAUUUUACCGUUAUAAAAUGCAUGUAGUAUUAUAAAAUAAAGCCAAAAAAAUGUAAAUAAAAUUAAAAUGUGAUAUAUUUUAGUGUAGUUAGUGGCACUGUGCCCUUUCGUAACUUCUCAGAGCAUG